rfam:Anaerosphaera sp. HMSC064C01 Anaerosphaera_spHMPREF2800-1.0_Cont75.4, whole genome shotgun sequence.
AUCACCGUGAGGUGAUGGCGAGAAGAAGCAAUAGCAAAAUCGUAGCCUGACGAACAGAAACCUAAUACCAAGGCUUACAUAAAGGAUGAGUGGGCAUAAAGUCACGAAGUCCAAAAGGCAAACGUAACUUAUGUAAGUAAAUUAGGCAGGUAGACGAGGAAAGACUGACGAC